ACGGAAGGCAGCAGUGAGGAAUAUUGGUCAAUGGACGCAAGUCUGAACCAGCCAUGCCGCGUGCAGGAAUAAGGCCCUAUGGGUCGUAAACUGCUUUUGUGGUGGAGCAAUAAGUCGUACGUGUACGGCGAUGAGAGUACAUCACGAAUAAGCAUCGGCUAACUCCGUGCCAGCAGCCGCGGUAAUACGGAGGAUGCAAGCGUUAUCCGGAUUUAUUGGGUUUAAAGGGUGCGUAGGCUGUGGUCCAAGUCAGGGGUGAAAGCCCGGAGCUCAACUCCGGAACUGCCUUUGAUACUGGAUUGCUGAAAUACGGAUGCCGUGGGAGGAAUGAGUAGUGUAGCGGUGAAAUGCAUAGAUAUUACUCAGAACACCGAUUGCGAAGGCAUCUCACGAAUCCGUCAUUGACGCUGAGGCACGAAAGCGUGGGGAUCAAACAGGAUUAGAUACCCUGGUA
rnacentral:rRNA from 1 species